rnacentral:rRNA from 1 species
GAUGAACGCUGGCGGCGUGCCUAAUACAUGCAAGUCGAGCGAACAGACGAGGAGCUUGCUCCUCUGACGUUAGCGGCGGACGGGUGAGUAACACGUGGAUAACCUACCUAUAAGACUGGGAUAACUUCGGGAAACCGGAGCUAAUACCGGAUAACAUGUUGAACCGCAUGGUUCAACAGUGAAAGACGGUCUUGCUGUCACUUAUAGAUGGAUCCGCGCCGCAUUAGCUAGUUGGUAAGGUAACGGCUUACCAAGGCAACGAUGCGUAGCCGACCUGAGAGGGGGAUCGGCCACACUGGAACUGAGACACGGUCCAGACUCCUACGGGAGGCAGCAGUAGGAAUCUUCCGCAAUGGGCGAAAGCCUGACGGAGCAACGCCGCGUGAGUGAAGAAGGUCUUCGGAUCGUAAAACUCUGUUAUUAGGGAAGAACAAAUGUGUAAGUAACUAUGCACGUCUUGACGGUACCUAAUCAGAAAGCCACGGCUAACUACGUG